AUUGAACGCUGGCGGCAGGCCUAACACAUGCAAGUCGAGCGGAUGAAGAGAGCUUGCUCUCUGAUUUAGCGGCGGACGGGUGAGUAAUGCCUAGGAAUCUGCCUGGUAGUGGGGGAUAACGUUCCGAAAGGAACGCUAAUACCGCAUACGUCCUACGGGAGAAAGCAGGGGACCUUCGGGCCUUGCGCUAUCAGAUGAGCCUAGGUCGGAUUAGCUAGUUGGUGAGGUAAUGGCUCACCAAGGCGACGAUCCGUAACUGGUCUGAGAGGAUGAUCAGUCACACUGGAACUGAGACACGGUCCAGACUCCUACGGGAGGCAGCAGUGGGGAAUAUUGGACAAUGGGCGAAAGCCUGAUCCAGCCAUGCCGCGUGUGUGAAGAAGGUCUUCGGAUUGUAAAGCACUUUAAGUUGGGAGGAAGGGCAUUAACCUAAUACGUUAGUGUUUUGACGUACCAA
rnacentral:rRNA from 1 species